rnacentral:rRNA from 1 species
AAUGAACGUUGGCGGCGUGGAUUAGGCAUGCAAGUCGAGCGAGAAGAGUUUGGUAGCUUGCUAUUGAACUCGGACAGCGGCGAAAGGGAGAGUAACGCGUAGUUAUGUACCCAGGGGUUCGGAAUAGCCACGGGAAACUGAGGGUAAUGCCGAAUAACAUCUCAGGAUCAAAGGUGUGAUUCCGCCCUUGGAGCAGACUGCGUCCUACUAGCUAGUUGGCGGGGUAAUGGCCCACCAAGGCAACAAUGGGUAGCGGGUGUGAGAGCAUGACCCGUCUCACUGGGACUGAGACACUGCCCAGACACCUACGGGUGGCUGCAGUCGAGAAUCUUCGGCAAUGGGCGAAAGCCUGACCGAGCGACGCCGCGUGCGGGAUGAAGGCCCUCGGGUUGUAAACCGCUGUCGUAGGGGAGGAAGGCUCCGUGAAGAACGGGGUUUGACCUAUCCUAGGAGGAAGUACGGGCUAAGUUCGUGCCAGCCGCCGCCGUAAGAC